AUACGUAGGGUGCGAGCGUUAAUCGGAAUUACUGGGCGUAAAGCGUGCGCAGGCGGUUUUGUAAGACAGGCGUGAAAUCCCCGGGCUCAACCUGGGAAUGGCGCUUGUGACUGCAAGGCUAGAGUGCGUCAGAGGGGGGUAGAAUUCCACGUGUAGCAGUGAAAUGCGUAGAGAUGUGGAGGAAUACCGAUGGCGAAGGCAGCCCCCUGGGACGAGACUGACGCUCAUGCAUGAAAGCGUGGGGAGCAAACAGGAUUAGAUACCCUAGUAGUCC
rnacentral:rRNA from 1 species